CAACUUUCAAAACGGAUCUCUUGGUUCUCGC
rnacentral:rRNA from 1 species